rnacentral:lncRNA from 1 species
ACUCCAGCGUCUCUCAGUACAGAUCCCCUCGGUGAGCUUCCAAAGCAGAAGUAGAACUAGUAGUUGCUUGCUCUUAGAUCUUUUUCAGGAAUGCCACAUUUUUCUUUUGCAUUGUGUCAGACUGUUAAAGAUGAUUUAUCUGCCAAUAUCAUUGGUUAAGAAUUAAGUGUCAUAUAUAUUGAGUCAGUAAAUUUGCAGAUUUCAUACUUCACUGCCGCUGAUACCAUUGCUUUGAAAAGUUAUCAUAUAUGCUUAUAAAAAAUCAGUGCAUGGUACUAACUAUUUUCAAAAGUUUAGAUUGCUGCAUGUUUACAUAAGCAUAGCUGUUGUUCUGGCAGUAUUUGAUCAUCUACGAAUCACUGUCUUUGUGUUUUUAUUCAUUUUUCUUUUGAUGUAUAUAUGACCUAAUUUAGUGCAGAUUAUAGAUUGGCUUCUUACUCUCAUGUUAUAAUAUAUAUUCUAGAUUUCUAGUCAUAUGUCAUUACACGUUAUUAGUAGGUGUUGCACCCUGAUUUGUUUUUUGUUCUUGCAACUAGGAAUCCAAUAAAAUGGGGGCAACUAAUCAUGGUUUUUUCUAUGUUCGUUUCAUUUGUGCAUAGUGAAUUUUUCUACAAGCACAAAUUGAGAUCUUGGCCUUUUUUAUUUGUUACAAUUUUUGUUUAUUAAAGAGCACUGGAACUAGAUAGGACAGCAACUUUCAUUCAGUUGCAUAUAUAUGGAUUUGGUAGCUGCUAUUUUCUUUUUUUCGAGUUCAGUUGCAUAUAUAUUGAUUAAUGUUGCUUCAUGUAUUAAUUAGUAUUGGGACUGCAGAGUAGCCAAGCUUAACACAAUUAUUCAAAUGAUUGACGUCCACAGAAAACUAUCCACAAUGACAGGUGGAGUGUGCCUUGAGACACAACUUUUUCUUUCAGUGAGCUGGAGGCCACUGUACUACUAAAUACUAAGUAUAUCUAGUAUAGGCUUUUGGUACCUUCUUUUGUUUUAUGCAUGAACAUUUUUGCAUCUUCUCCAGUAUUAGUGAUGC